UCCUUGGUGGCUUAGAUGGUAAAGAAUCUGCCUGCAAUGCAGGAUACCCGGGUUUGAUUCCUGGGUCAGGAA
rfam:TPA: Bos taurus chromosome 23, whole genome shotgun sequence.